rnacentral:rRNA from 1 species
UACGAAGGGGGCGAGCGUUGUUCGGAAUUACUGGGCGUAAAGGGCGCGUAGGCGGCCCCUUUUGUCGCGUGUGAAAGCCCCGGGCUCAACCUGGGAGGUGCGCGCGAAACGGGGGGGGCUUGAGUUCGGGAGAGGAGCGUGGAAUUCCCAGUGUAGAGGUGAAAUUCGUAGAUAUUGGGAAGAACACCGGGUGGCGAAGGCGGCGCUCUGGACCGAGACUGACGCUGAGGCGCGAAAGCGUGGGGAGCAAACAGG